UUUUUUUUUAUUUUUAAUUUUUUUUGUCUUUUUCUAGAGAACAGUUUAUUUUUUUAAUUUUUAUUUUAUUUUUGUGUUUUUCUAGGUAAGUGGAUUUAGUGAUUACCCAGGGUUUCAAUACCAGUGAUGUAACGUUACUGUAAGGCAGAACAUUAUUGUGAAAACUUUCUGUUGAGAGAUGCCUGGAGGAUGCCUCUGUUGAGGAGGUAAACUCAAACCCUAGCUUCCCAACCCCAUGGUCCUCUUCCUCAGGUCUUGCACUAGACCAGGUGGUGGUGGGCAUGCAAAUCCCUUUUGGGAAAGACCAGAAGAAGAGGGUCAUGGGGUUUGGGAAGUGGUGCCUCUUCCCUUCCUAGGGUUUGAGUUUGCCUCUGGGCUUGGGGAGAAAGCCCUGCAGUACCUGAGCCGUGUCAACCUGGAACGGGGGAGAAGGCAGCGUAGACUUGCUCUUGUUGGGCAAAGACAUAAAUGAUGGCGUCCGAGCGACAUCACUAGAAAGGAAAUGCUUACAGCGUGUCAGGUACUAUUUGAAUCAUUUUAUGUUUAAGUCUUUCUCACAGCCUAUGACGCUGUCAUUUCUGUAGGUCAGAGCUGGUAAAAUAUUGUCACUUCGACAUAGUUUACAGAUUUUCCACCUUAAGAUGUGAACAAAAGAUUUUUUAAUAAUGACCCAACGUCCCAAAGCUAAUGGGUGGCUGUACAGAUCAAGUGUUCUUGCAGGAACAAAAGGCACCUUCAGAAGGGGAUGACUGAGACAUUAAUGAAAGACUGCUUACAGAUGGGGUUAAAUGAAAUCAACAAGGAUAGAGGAAGUUUCUGGAAAAGCCAUCUUAAAGCAGUCCAGUGGGCACUGGGAGGUGGCUGGAGCUGGAAGCAGGGGGGUGAAGUGUGUGUGUGUGUCUGUGUUUAGGACGGGUGACUUAGAAGUCACCUCUCAGUGUGCUGGUCUUAUAGAUGGUGCCAGUACAAAAGGACUGAGGUCAGGUGUUUAUUCUUUAUAAUAUACAAUGCCUGUCAAAAAUUUUUGCAGGAGCCAUUCCGAGCACAGCAUGGACCACUGCAAGGGAUUGACAGCUAGAUAUUAGUCACGAGUUCUUAAAUACCAUCCAUUUAUCAUCAGCCCUUAAUUAAUGGGGAUCCUUCUGCCCAGAACACGCAGUGAGACUUCUGCCUCCUCUUUAUCCCCUGCCCCCUGCCGGGUCACACUGAGGAGGAAGGAGAAUGACAUGCAAACAUGAUGUCCAAGUUUGAAGAAGCCACCUGUAGCCAGAGCAGCCAGUUCUUGGUAAGUGUCCGGAUACUGUCAGUCAAGCCCGACUUCCCUCUCAACUUUUCAUCUUUACACUGUCUCUUGCCAACCUCUGUUCCCUCUGUUCCAGCUGCCCCCUUCCUCCACUGGCUCCCAUCCGCUAACCCUGAUGGAUGGAAAAUACUUUCUCAGAAGUGACUAGAAGAAACCUGAGAAAUGACUCUUGCACAAGGAAGCCAGGCUGCCCACCCCAUUUGAGGAUGUGUUCAAUCCUAAGGAUAACUCACCUAUUUUAUUGUAUUUUAUUUUUUGGCUGUACCGAUGGCCUGUGGAAGUUCCUAGGUCAGGGUUGAAACUGCACCACAGCAGUGCCAAUGCCAGAUCUUUAGCCCACUGUAUCACCACGGAACUCUGCACCCAUUUUAAAAUCUAAGAACAUCCCAACCAAUGCCCAUGGCGCCCACAGCUGGCUUGACUUCCCCAGAUGCUCCUGAUAAUCUAAUUCUCUCCUAACAUAAGAGGUAAUGUCAUGCUUCAUGCUUCAAAUGGACCAUCCCUGUAUCUUUUUUUCAGGAAAAACUCCUUCACCUUAAAUUCAAGUGUUUAAAAGUUCAAAGCACUUAAUGUUUGCACAUAAAGUGAAUUUUAGAUUACAUUCUUUUUUGGAGAGAGUCACAUAACGGGCUGUUACAAAUUCAUUCCAAAAAGCAACUUUCAGAUUCUGUCCUGAGGUCAGUAACAUACAUUCCCUUUGCCUCCUGUACUUACAACUCUGUAAUUACAACUCAAGAAAUAAUAUAUGAGGAUUCUGAUACAUGGAAAGAUCCUGAAAAAGUGUUUUGAAUUAUUAAAGAAGAAAUCAUUCAUAGUAUUGGCAUGAAGUAUAUUACACAGUACUGUCAGCCUUUGAACAUUGCUAAGUCAUGUGUGACAUAUACGGUAUAAAGAAAUCAGACUACUCUGUUCUACCUAUUUCUGCUAGUUGAGAAGUUUUAUACAAAAAAUUCAUUUAAUAAUUCUGACACCUGUGGUCAAUUAAUCUUUGACAAAGGAGGCAAAGAAUAUAAAAUGAGAAAAAGACAGUCUUUUCAGCAAGUGGUGCUGGGAAAACUGGACAGCAACAUGUAAAUCAGUGAAACUAGAACACACCCUCACACCAUGCACAAAAAUAAAUAACACUGUAAAUCAGCUAUAAUAGAAAAGAUAAAAAUCAUUAUAAAAAUGGCCUAAAGACUUAAACAUAAGACAUCAUAAAACUAGAAGAGAACAUAGGCAAAAUAUUCUCUGACAUCAACUGUGUAAAUGUUUCCUUAGGUCAGUCUCCCAAGGCAAGAGAAGUAAAAGCAAAAAUAAUGGGACCUAAUCAAACGUAAAAGCUUUUGCACAGCAAAGGAAAUAAAACCCCAAAAAGACACCCUAUGGAAUGGGAGAACAUAGUUGCAAAUGAUACAACGAACAAGGGCUUAAUCCCCAAAAUAUACAAACAACUCAUACAACUCAACAGCAAAAACAAAAACAAAAAGCAAAAAAACCUGAACAACAACAACAAAAACAACCCAAAUGAAAAAUGGGCAGAAAACCUAGAUAUUUCUCCAAAGAAGAUAUACAGAUAGCCAACAAACACAUGAAAAAAAUGCUCAACAUCACUAAUUAUUAGAGAAAUGUAGAUCAAAACUACAAUGAGGUACCAUCUCACACUGGUCAGAACAGCUAUCAUUAAUAAGUCUACAAAUAACAAGUGCUAGAGAGGGUGUGGAGAAAAGGGAACCCUACUUCUCUGUUGGUGGGAAUGUAGACUGGUACAACCAUUAUGGAAAACAGUAUGGAGGUUCCUCAGAGAACUAAAUAUAGAACUACCAGAAGUUUCAGUAAUCCCACUCCUGGGCAUAUAUCUGGAUAAAAAAACUUUCAUUCUAAAAGAUACAUGCACCACUAUAUUCAUUCCAGCACUAUUCACAAUAGCCAAGACAUGGAAACAGCCUAAAUGUCCAUUGACAGAUGAAUGGAUUAAGAAGAUGUGGUAUAUAUACACAAAGGAAUACUACUCAGCCAUAAAAAAGAAAAUACCAUUUGCAGCAACAUGGAUAGAACUAGAGAUUCUCAUACUAAGUGAAGUAAGUCAGAAAGAGAAAGACAAAUACCAUAUGAUAUCACUUAUAUGUGGAAUCUAAAAUGUGGCACAAAUGAACCUAUCUACAAAACAGAAACAAACUCAUGGGCAGAGAACAGACUUGUGGUUGCCAAGCAGGAGGGGGAGGGAGUGGGAUGGACUGGGAGUUUGGGGUUAGUAGAUGCAAACUGUUGCAUUUGGAGUGAAUAAGCAAUGAGAUCCUGCUGUAUAGCUUAGAGAACUACAUCCAAUCCCUUGUGAUGGAAAAUAAUGGAAGAUAUGAGAAAAAGAAUGUAUACACAUACACACACACACAUACAUAUAUAUAACUUGGGUGUCACUUUGCUGUACAGCAGAAAUUGACAGGACACUGUCAAUCAACUAUAAUAAACAUUUUUUUUAAUUUAAAAAAGAUUUUUAAAAAGUCAAAAAAAAAUUGGAAGAACUACUGGAUAAGAAACUCAAUCCAGGAGUUCCUGUUGUGGCUCAGUGGGUUGAGGACCUAAUGUGGUCUCUGUGAGGAUGCAGGUUUGAUCCCUGGUCUCACUCAGUGGAUGAAGGACCCGGCAUUGCCACAAGCUGUGGCAUAGUCCACAGAUGUGGACUGGAUCUGGGGUUGCUGUGGCACCUGCAGCUCCAAUUUGACCCCUAGCCCGGGAACGUCCAUAUGCCGGGGUGCGGCCAGUCGUUGCACCUCUGGGUUUUUCUGUUACCACCUCUAGAGAGGAGAUGCGCUACGACCUCCAAGUUAUAAAAAUCCUCCUGUCAUCCCCACCCUUCUCUUUAGAGCCCAAACUUUGGACUUCAGCUGCAGCUCCUUCUGGGGGUGGGUGUUGCCAUCAGAAGCCCUUUGGUGACCCUCGGUCACUUGUACUGGCAUUGUCACUCUUGGGACAUUUCCCUUAGACUUCUGCUGGUCUCUGUUAAACCAUCAUUUAGUUAACACUCCCGCAGUUACAGAGCAGAGGACAGAACCGGCAGCAGAUGGUAUCUGGAAGCAUAAAGUGACAGACCUGGGAACAUUCCUGGGUGAGAAGCUUCUAUUUCCAGAGUCCUGCUCCUCACCCGGUUCCAGCUCCUUUAUCUGGUGAAGUUCCACAUCCUUUAAGGAUCAAGUCCAAUGUCACUUCUACCUCACUUGGGAGAGGUUCUUUCUCCUCUGGGCUCCUAAUUUUUACCCACCACUGUCACAUCUGUCAUCACCUCCUAUUGCAUAUUGAUUUUUUGCCUGCUUGCUCACCUCUUUAGGAAUAUCCUUACAAGUGGCCACGAUUGGUUCUUCUCUAGGGUAGCUUAUUUCCAGGCUCUGUGAGCCUGUGUGUAAGGCCUGCCUUGGGUGAUUAUAACAAACAAAUGCUGAAGCCCUUUUGGGUGCAUCAUUUCAAUCUUUUAAAGAUGAUUUCUGGUGCUUCCCUCCUUGGGAACUUUCUACUUUCCUGUCACUUUGGUGAUUCUUAUCAGUGUUCCCUGGUAGACAAUUAAUGGUAUGAUUUUUUUGACCAAUUAGCUCAGGAAGCUCAGACUUCAGCAUCUUAAAAAAAAAAAAAAAAUCCCCAAGUGGAGUUCCCGUCGAGGCUCAGUGGUUAACGAAUUUGACUAGGAACCAUGAGGUUGUGGGUUCGAUCCCUGGCCUCGCUCAGUGGGUUAAGGAUCCGGCGUUACUGUGAGCUGUGGUGUAGGUCGCAGAUGUGGCUUGGAUCCCACUUUGCUGUGGCUGUGGCGUAGGCUGGUGGCUACAACUCCGAUUAGACCCUUAGCCUGGGAACCUCCAUAUGCCAUGGGCGUGGCCCUAGAAAAGCCAAAAAAAAGAAAAAAAAAAAGAAAAAGAAAAAAGGAAAAAAAAAAUCCCCAAAUAAUAACCAGCUCAAGAAUACAAAUGUUCUAUGCAGUUCUGGAAUGCUAUCACUUAUUGACUCUAUUCAUUAAAAAAAAAAGGUGCAUGCAAAUCUAAAAUCCCCACACAGAAAAUGGAACUAAUCCACAAAUAAGUGCGUGCCUCAUACACACCUACAUACCAACAAGUAACACGAGAAUCAUAGGAACCUGCAUGUGUAGGUUCUGGAUUCAUCUGGAUUCAUGCUGAACAUUGCUAAGCAUUGUGCCAGCUGCUUCACAGGCCCAGUAUCUUUGACACUAUCCUUGAAAUUCAUGAUGGCAUGAGGGUCAUCACACAUAAGCAUUUUCUUUUUGUCCCUCUGAACAAAGUGAACAUUGACCCGGAUACAGGGAAGGAUCCUAGCUGGGGUCACUCACAUCGCUUGAAUCAUAACAAGAGAAAGACUUUUGCAGUCUCCGAACUUUUUUCAAGCAGAAGCAAGCAGCUGUUCCUGAGAUAAAGCAGUGUGAGUUCUCAUAUACAGAGUUAGUGAUGCAUGGCAUUGAGGGGAGAGGUGAGGGGGGAACUCAAUCAUUGCAUCAAACUGCCGUUUUCAAUUUUACAAAGAACUCUUGCAUGUGUUCUUAUUUGAUAAUAGCCUCACAGAAUCAAAGGCUUUUCACCAUAGCAACCUUAGUAGUUGGCCCUUUUUAACAUUGAAGAAACUGAGGCUCAAAUGCUUAAGUGACUCCCUUAGAGUGACAAAACUAGUUAAGUGGUAGGAGAUGGGAUUACUGAGUCCAGGGUCUACAGGUUUAGCUUUUGUUUUUUUAGGACAUGCUUGCUUAAAGAAAGACAGCACUAGUGAGAGACAGUUUUACACAGAGGAAAGCAAAAAUUGAGCCAACCACAGAAGCACCCUCUUUCAAUUAUACAGUGGUUAACACUUAAAAUUACUUUCCCAGUAUCCUAAAUGACUGCCCUUACAAAGCAAAUGCACUGCCUAAACCAUGGCUGCAUGCUUUUUCUUUACUUGGAAGGAUCUCUCAGAGAGCAUUACUAAAAAUAACUUCAUUAUCUGUAAUAGAAACUCAUCUAUCACCAUUCUAAUUAGAAUGUGACUAAAGAAAUCAGUAGUGAACAAAGGCGUUUUGGACAUUUGGUGCCUAUAAUGAUGGCUUUGAAGUUCCAGGGAAAAGUCAGUUUUCCAAAUGUCUCCUCAUUUAUAUCUCUCACUCGCCAUUCUUCUCAGUUCUCAAAGAAACUGUUUUUAAAUAUAUAUAAUAAUGGUAAUAGACAUUUGCAGAAACUGGAAAAAUAGAACAGCACAAAGAAGGAAAAAAAAACUUAUAUGCUCUCCUCUCAGAGAAAAUCACUACUAUUUUGAUGUGCCUGAGCAUUUUCUGCACAGAUAAGCAUUUCUGCCUACUUAGCACCAUAGUGUAUAAACUCUUUUGUUACCCACUUUCACACUUAUUAGAAUUAUUUCCUCCAUCAGGUAGAUAUUCUACAGUUUUUGGUGGUUGCACAGUAUUCUACUUACUAAAUUGCAUUAUUUAUAAAUUUUCCACUUCACUGAAUAGUUACUGAUUUUUAUGAGCAACCGUGCUAAAUAGCCUUGUAUAUUAAUUUCUGCAAACCUGUCAUAUUGAAGAAAAAUUCCCAGAAACAGAUUUGCUGGGUCAAAUCUUUAGGCAAAAUUUAAGAAUAUACAUCUUGGGAGUUCCCGUCGUGGCGCAGUGGUUAACGAAUCCGACUAGGAAACAUGAGGUUGUGGGUUCGGUCCCUGCCCUUGUUUAGUGGGUUAACGAUCCGGCAUUGCUGUGAGCUGUGGUGUAGGUUGCAGACGUGGCUCAGAUCCCGCGUUGCUGUGGCUCUGGCAUAGGCCAGUGGCUACAGCUCCGAUUCGACCCCUAGCCUGGGAACCUCCAUAUGCCGCGGGAGCGGCCCAAAGAAAUAGCAAAAAG
rnacentral:lncRNA from 1 species